rnacentral:rRNA from 1 species
AGAGUUUGAUCCUGGCUCAGGACUAACGCUGGCGGCGUGCUUAACACAUGCAAGUCUAACGAGAAAGCGGUAGCAAUAUCGUGAGUAAAGUGGCGAACGGGUGAGUAACACGUAACCAAUCUGCCUUGAAGAGGAGGAAAACUGAGGGAAACUUUAGCUAAUCCUCCAUAAUGUGGUGCCUAUCGCAUGAGAACAUCAUUAAAGAUUUACUCGCUUCGGGAAGAGGUUGCGUCUGAUUAGCUAGUUGGCGGGGUAAAGGCCACCAAGGCGACGAUCAGUAGCUGGUCUGAGAGGAUGAUCAGCCACACUGGGACUGAGAUACGGCCCAGACUCCUACGGGAGGCCACAGUGAGGAAUAUUGCGCAAUGAUUGAAUGCAUGACGCAGCUUCCCCGCGUGUUCCAUGAAGGCUUUACGUACUGAGACUACUGUUGGAGCGGAACUAGCUGAGGGUAACGCCAGGGGUGAUCGUACACUCAGAGGAACUACCCGGGGUAUCUAAUCCUGUUUGCUCCGCAUGAUUCUCGUUCGUCAGCGUCAGUAACAAGAUUACUGAGCCGCCAUGCGCUACUGGGGGUGCUUCACAAUCUCUACGCAUUUUCACCGACUACACUGGGGAUUUCCUCUCAUCUCUUUUGUCUCACUAGCAACAGAAUCAACGGAUAGUCCCGUUGAUACUGUUGUUCUUGAGUACAAGAAGAGAUGAGUGGAAUUCCCAGUGUAGCGGUGAAAUGCGUAGAGAUUGGGAAGAACACCAGUAGCGAAGGCGGCUCAUUAGCUUGUUACUGACGCUGAGGAACGAAAGCAUGGGGAGCAAACAGGAUUAGAUACCCUGGUAGUCCAUGCCCUAAACGAUGAGGACUAGGUAUUGGCUCGCAAGAGUCGGUGCCGCAGCUAACGCAUUAAGUCCUCCACCUGGGGAAUACGGCCGCAAGGUUGAAACUCAAAGGAAUUGACGGGGGCCCGCACAAGCAGUGGAGCAUGUGGUUUAAUUCGACGCAACGCGAAGAACCUUACCUGGGCUCGAAAUGCUACUGCAAAUCUAUGAAAGUAGAGUUCCCGCAAGGGACGGUAGUAUAGGUGCUGCAUGGCUGUCGUCAGCUCGUGUCGUGAGAUGUUGGGUUAAGUCCCGCAACGAGCGCAACCCUUACCAUUAGUUGCCAUCAUUCAGUUGGGCACUCUAGUGGGACUGCCGAUGAUAAAUCGGAGGAAGGUGGGGAUGACGUCAAGUCAUCAUGGCCCUUACGUCCAGGGCUACACACGUGCUACAAUGGCAGGUACAGAGGGCGAAACCGCAAGGUGAAGAUAAUCCCAAAAAACCUGCCUCAGUUCGGAUUGAAGGCUGCAACUCGCCUUCAUGAAGCUGGAAUUGCUAGU